rnacentral:lncRNA from 1 species
AUGUAUACACACACACACACACACACACACACACACACACACACACACACACACACACACACACACACACACACACACACACACACACACACACACACACACACACUUUUUCAAACACUAGCUGUGAAUUCCAACUUUAAAGUUCCAAAACCUCUUAAAAUGUCUUCCGUCUGUUGCAUACCACUGUUUUCAUACAACUAUGGCUCCAUCAAGUAUAAAUAUCGCAAGUGUUUCCCCUAGAAUUUUUUUUAGGCCCGGUGGUAAGAGCUGAUAGUGUGAUUUGUUAUACAUUUUUCACGGGAUGCUAGAGUAUUUGUUGGUUAUUUCCAUAUAAAACACUUGCUUAGCCAUCACAGGUUGAUAAUGAUUCAACACUGACAAGUGUUGAAUCAUUGGGAGGAGAUAAUGAUCUCCUCCCUCUGCCCCUCUGACUUGUUCCUCCACACCUGUCACUCGCCCUUCUUCCCCACCUGUACUCUCGUUUGGCACCGUGUUUAGGAAGAACCUUGAAAUACCUUUUUGUCCUUCAUCCCUUUUACGUUUUUUUGGUGGUGCCAUGCUAAUGAUGAUAUUACUUAAUGCUGUCAGAUUGUCCGUUAUGAUGGGGCAUCAUCUGCGCACGCGCAACACCGCAUUUUUUUUUUUUUUUUUUAAUUCUUUUUUUUUCUUUUUUUUUUUUUUGGCCGGUUGUUGGCCUGGCGGGGGCGCUCGUUGGCCUGGCGGCCCGCCAGGCCUGAACAAUGGUAGGGGAAACACUGCAAGUCAUAUUAUUAUCUUAAUAUAGAAUUAUGUUAUUGCAUAUCACAUGUUUUCCUAAAAUCGUACAGCCCUAAUUAAGACCCUGCCCAGAUCAGACGGAAGUGUCAGAUCCAUGUAGUGGUGAAAGGAAGCCCAAUUGAGUCAUAAGGCAGGGCGCCUAUGGUUCCUCUUCAACUUCACACCAUAUGGAAGUGUUCAGAGCAAGCUUACAGCAGACAUCGGGACACCAAACACUAAGUUUUAUACAUAUCCUAUGUCAUCAAAAGACAAAAAGUCAACAGACACACACCGACAAAACGGUUUAAACCAUAAACAGGGCUGUAACAGAAGAAAAUGGCAUAGUCUCGCAUACAGUAACUGCCAAUUCAAAUUGCACGAGUAAACAAGCACACCUGGGCCGAGUCCCUAGUUCUGACUUUUCUUCUGCUGUGAAGAACUUUUAGAUUCCAAACACAGUGCACAUGAAU